rnacentral:rRNA from 1 species
AUUGAACGCUGGCGGCAGGCUUAACACAUGCAAGUCGAGCGGAGAUGAGGUGCUUGCACCUUAUCUUAGCGGCGGACGGGUGAGUAAUGCUUAGGAAUCUGCCUAUUAGUGGGGGACAACAUUCCGAAAGGAAUGCUAAUACCGCAUACGUCCUACAGGAGAAAGCAGGGGAUCUGCGGACCGUGCGCUAAUAGAUGAGCCUAAGUCGGAUUAGCUAGUUGGUGGGGUAAAGGCCUACCAAGGCGACGAUCUGGAGCGGGUCUGAGAGGAUGAUCCGCCACACUGGGACUGAGACACGGCCCAGACUCCUACGGGAGGCAGCAGUGGGGAAUAUUGGACAAUGGGGGGAACCCUGAUCCAGCCAUGCCGCGUGUGUGAAGAAGGCCUUAUGGUUGUAAAGCACUUUAAGCGAGGAGGAGGCUACUGAGACUAAUACUCUUGGAUAGUGGACGUUACUCGCAGAAUAAGCACCGGCUAACUCUGUGCCAGCCGCCGCAGUAAUAC